UAGGGAAUAUUGGGCAAUGGACGAAAGUCUGACCCAGCCAUGCCGCGUGCAGGAAGACAGCCCUAUGGGUCGUAAACUGCUUUUAUAUAGGAAGAAACCCCUUGUUUUCACAAGGGCUGACGGUACUAUACGAAUAAGGAUCGGCUAACUCCGUGCCAGCAGCCGCGGUAAUACGGAGGAUCCAAGCGUUGUCCGGAUUUAUUGGGUUUAAAGGGUGCGUAGGCGGGACAAUAAGUCAGUGGUGAAAGCCUGCAGCUUAACUGUAGAAUUGCCAUUGAAACUGUUGUUCUUGAGUCCGGUUGAGGUUGAUGGAAUAUAUCAUGUAGCGGUGAAAUGCUUAGAUAUGAUAUAGAACACCGAUUGCGAAGGCAGUCAACUAAGCCGGUACUGACGCUGAGGCACGAAAGCGUGGGGAGCGAACAGG
rnacentral:rRNA from 1 species